rnacentral:tRNA from 1 species
UGGUUCAAAUCCAAUAGUAGGUAGAGCUAGAACUUAUUCGAUACCAGAGUCAGUGAUAUCGAAUAAGUUUUUC